rnacentral:snRNA from 1 species
GCUUUGGCAAAACAUAUACUAAAACUGGAAUGACACAAAGAAGAUUAGCAUGGCGUCUGCGCAAGGAUGAGUCUGUUAAAAAAAAUUCUUAACCUUUUGAU